rnacentral:hammerhead_ribozyme from 1 species
AUCAACUGACGAGUCUCAAAUUGGAUGAAACUCUAGUCCUGGAU